AGUGAACGCUGGCGGUAGGCCUAACACAUGCAAGUCGAACGGCAGCACAGUAAGAGCUUGCUCUUACGGGUGGCGAGUGGCGGACGGGUGAGGAAUACAUCGGAAUCUACUUUUUCGUGGGGGAUGACGUAGGGAAACUUACGCUAAUACCGCAUACGACCUACGGGUGAAAGCAGGGGAUCUUCGGACCUUGCGCGAUUGAAUGAGCCGAUGUCGGAUUAGCUAGUUGGCGGGGUAAAGGCCCACCAAGGCGACGAUCCGUAGCUGGCCUGAGAGGAUGAUCAGCCACACUGGAACUGAGACACGGUCCAGACUCCUACGGGAGGCAGCAGUGGGGAAUAUUGGACAAUGGGCGCAAGCCUGAUCCAGCCAUACCGCGUGGGUGAAGAAGGCCUUCGGGUUGUAAAGCCCUUUUGUUGGGAAAGAAAAGCAGCAGGUUAAUACCCCGCUGUUCUGACGGUACCCAAAGAAUAAGCACCGGCUAACUUCGCG
rnacentral:rRNA from 1 species